rnacentral:rRNA from 1 species
AGACCCGAAACCCGGUGAUCUAGCCAUGGGCAGGUUGAAGGUUGGGUAACACUAACUGGAGGACCGAACCGACUAAUGUUGAAAAAUUAGCGGAUGACCUGUGGCUGGGGGUGAAAGGCCAAUCAAACCGGGAGAUAGCUGGUUCUCCCCGAAAGCUAUUUAGGUAGCGCCUCGUGAACUCAUCUCCGGGGGUAGAGCACUGUUUCGGCUAGGGGGCCAUCCCGGCUUACCAACCCGAUGCAAACUGCGAAUACCGGAGAAUGUUAUCACGGGAGACACACGGCGGGUGCUAACGUCCGUCGUGAAGAGGGAAACAACCCAGACCGCCAGCUAAGGUCCCAAAGUCAUGGUUAAGUGGGAAACGAUGUGGGAAGGCCCAGACAGCCAGGAUGUUGGCUUAGAAGCAGCCAUCAUUUAAAGAAAGCGUAAUAGCUCACUGGUCGAGUCGGCCUGCGCGGAAGAUGUAACGGGGCUAAACCAUGCACCGAAGCUGCGGCAGCGACACUUUAGUGUUGUUGGGUAGGGGAGCGUUCUGUAAGCCGUUGAAGGUGUCCUGUGAGGGGUGCUGGAGGUAUCA